rnacentral:rRNA from 1 species
CGCACGGGUGAGUAACACGUAUCCAACCUGCCGUCUACUCUUGGACAGCCUUCUGAAAGGAAGAUUAAUACAAGAUGGCAUCAUGAGUUCACAUGUUCACAUGAUUAAGGGUAUUCCGGUAGACGAUGGGGAUGCGUUCCAUUAGAUAGUAGGCGGGGUAACGGCCCACCUAGUCUUCGAUGGAUAGGGGUUCUGAGAGGAAGGUCCCCCACAUUGGAACUGAGACACGGUCCAA